AGAUUAGGAUUUCUCCCUUCGUGUGGACUCUUUGGAGGCCAAGAGGCUGGCUCUGACCCAGAGCAGAGCUUGGCCUUCCUUCCAGGGGUCCCACACGUCCCUGAUUCACCAUCUCUACGCUGGAGUUGGACGCUAUCCUUCAGGGACCCAGCGCAGCCAAGAGAAUCGCAGGAGCAUUUCUCACCCUCAAUCAUGGCCAAACUAUUGCUUGCCUAUGAUGUGGACCUGAAACCUGGAUCGUUUAUAAGAAUAGUGG